rnacentral:tRNA from 1 species
GGAAGCAUGGCCGAGUGGCUUAAGGCAACGGUCUUGAAAACCGUCGGGUGUAACAGCCCCUAGAGUUCGAAUCUCUAUGCUUCCGCCA